GAUGAACGCUGGCGGCGUGCCUAAUACAUGCAAGUCGAGCGAACGGACGAGAAGCUUGCUUCUCUGAUGUUAGCGGCGGACGGGUGAGUAACACGUGGAUAACCUACCUAUAAGACUGGGAUAACUUCGGGAAACCGGAGCUAAUACCGGAUAAUAUUUUGAACCGCAUGGUUCAAAAGUGAAAGACGGUCUUGCUGUCACUUAUAGAUGGAUCCGCGCUGCAUUAGCUAGUUGGUAAGGUAACGGCUUACCAAGGCAACGAUGCAUAGCCGACCUGAGAGGGUGAUCGGCCACACUGGAACUGAGACACUGCCCAGACUCCUACGGGAGGCAGCAGUAGGGAAUCUUCCGCAAUGGGUGAAAGCCUGACGGAGCAACGCCGCGUGAGUGAUGAAGGUCUUCGGAUCGUAAAACUCUGUUAUUAGGGAAGAACAUAUGUGUAAGUAACUGUGCACAUCUUGACGGUACCUAAUCAGAAAGCCACGGCUAACUACGUGCCAGCAGCCGCGGUAAUACGUAGGUGGCAAGCGUUAUCCGGAAUUAUUGGGCGUAAAGCGCGCGUAGGCGGUUUUUUAGGUCUGAUGUGAAAGCCCACGGCUCAACCGUGGAGGGUCAUUGGAAACUGGAAAACUUGAGUGCAGAAGAGGAAAGUGGAAUUCCAUGUGUAGCGGUGAAAUGCGCAGAGAUAUGGAGGAACACCAGUGGCGAAGGCGACUUUCUGGUCUGUAACUGACGCUGAUGUGCGAAAGCGUGGGGAUCAAACAGG
rnacentral:rRNA from 1 species